rnacentral:rRNA from 1 species
CCGGCACGGGUGAGUAACACGUAUCCAACCUGCCGUCUACUCUUGGACAGCCUUCUGAAAGGAAGAUUAAUACAAGAUGGCAUCAUGAGUUCACAUGUUCACAUGAUUAAAGGUAUUCCGGUAGACGAUGGGGAUGCGUUCCAUUAGAUAGUAGGCGGGGUAACGGCCCACCUGGUCUUCGAUGGAUAGGGGUUCUGAGAGGAAGGUCCCCCACAUUGGAACUGAGACACGGUCCAA